rnacentral:rRNA from 1 species
GAGGGAUCAUUACCGAGUUUACAACUCCCAAACCCAAUGUGAACGUUACCAAACUGUUGCCUCGGCGGGAUCUCUGCCCCGGGUGCGUCGCAGCCCCGGACCAAGGCGCCCGCCGGAGGACCAACCAAAACUCUUUUUGUAUACCCCCUCGCGGGUUUUUUUUAUAAUCUGAGCCUUCUCGGCGCCUCUCGUAGGCGUUUCGAAAAUGAAUCAAAACUUUCAACAACGGAUCUCUUGGUUCUGGCAUCGAUGAAGAACGCAGCGAAAUGCGAUAAGUAAUGUGAAUUGCAGAAUUCAGUGAAUCAUCGAAUCUUUGAACGCACAUUGCGCCCGCCAGUAUUCUGGCGGGCAUGCCUGUCCGAGCGUCAUUUCAACCCUCGAACCCCUCCGGGGGGUCGGCGUUGGGGAUCGGCCCUCCCUUAGCGGGGGCCGUCUCCGAAAUACAGUGGCGGUCUCGCCGCAGCCUCUCCUGCGCAGUAGUUUGCACACUCGCAUCGGGAGCGCGGCGCGUCCACAGCCGUUAAACACCCAACUUCUGAAAUGUUGACCUCGGAUCAGGUAGGAAUACCCGCUGAACUA